GUAAUAGAUAUAUUCUUGAAACCCAAAGGAUUUGGCGGUAUUUUAGUCCUUUCAGAGGAAUCUGUCCCAUAAUCGACAAUCCACGAAUAGAUAUACUUAAUUUUGUAUAAUCAGUUUGUAUACCUCCGUCAUCAGGGUAUCUUUUUAGAGUUAAUUUUCUUGAAAUACUAAAUAUUUUAUGUCAGGUCAAGGUGCAACUUAUAAUUAAGAGGAGAUGGAUUACAAUAAAUUUAUUUAAAUGGAUUAAAUUAUUUAAAUUUUUAUGAAGGUGGAUUUGAUAGUAAAAUUGUUAUAUUAUUAAUUUGAUUUUGGCUCUAAAAUAUGCACACAUCGCCCG
rnacentral:rRNA from 1 species